GGCUGAAUAUUUUUUUCACCCAUGUCUUUUGCGCACUUGUUGUUUCCUGGGCGGGUUCGCCCGCCACCAGGACCAAACCAUAAACCUUUUUUUUAUGCAGUUGCAAUCAGCGUCAGUAUAAACAAUGUAAUUAUUACAACUUUCAACAACGGAUCUCUUGGUUCUGGCAUCGAUGAAGAACGCAGCGAAAUGCGAUACGUAGUGUGAAUUGCAGAAUUCAGUGAAUCAUCGAAUCUUUGAACGCACAUUGCGCCCUUUGGUAUUCCAAAGGGCAUGCCUGUUCGAGCGUCAUUUGUACCCUCAAGCUUUGCUUGGUGUUGGGCGUUUUUGUCUCCCUCUUUGCUGGGAGACUCGCCUUAAAACGAUUGGCAGCCGGCCUACUGGUUUCGGAGCGCAGCACAUAUUUUGCACUCUGUAUCAGGAGAAAAGGACGGUAAUCCAUCAAGACUCUUACGAUUUUUAACUUUUGACCUCGGAUCAGGUAGGGAUACCCGCUGAACUUAAGCAUAUCAUAGGCCGGGAGGGAA
rnacentral:rRNA from 1 species